rnacentral:RNase_P_RNA from 1 species
GCAGCAGAAAGUAAACCGCCGAUGGAUUAGCAAUUGCUGGUCACAGGUAAGGCUGAAAGGGUGCGGUAAGAGCGCACCAGCGUGCAAGGUGACUUGUGCGGCUUGCAAACCCCACUCGAAGCAAGGUCAAGCAGGAAUCAGGCGGCCCGUCUAAUGAUUCCGGGUAGACCGCUGAGAUGGAUGGUCACACAAGUGAUUGAACUCACUGGACAGAAUCCCGCCUACAGGCUGACUCACCGC